CAGACAUUCCCUCUUGAUAACUUUAGCAGUGACACUAAAACGUGCAAAAGUGUGUAAAAAGUCGGAAAUUGUGGCGGGGAAAAUGUGUUUUCUGUUGGGUAGCCCGUUUAUUAGCAAAAUAGCCCCGAAAUGCAAAGUUUGGAAUAGAAGGUGGGCGGCUAAUCCCCCCAGCCUUAUUAAAACCGCACACACGUUUGCAUGCGUGCUAUUUAAUCCUUAAAUACCCAGGAAAUCGGUUCCAAGUAGUGCACUUUAAUGCCUUGGCUCCCGCAUCCACUUUUUAUUAUUAUUAUUUUUUAAUAUUUUCCACAGCUACUAGCACCUAGAUGUAUUUCCCUCAGACAACCAUUGAUCAAAGGGGAAUCUCAACAGUUCCCGGGGAUCAACUUCAAUAGUUCGCAAUUGCGGGCGCGGCGGCGCUGGGCUCUCUCUUCCAUACCCGCAUUAAUCAGAAUAAAAUGAAGCAAAAUCCUUCAGCUGCUCCGCGGGGCGACGUUUUCCAAAGGCAGAUCUCGGUUGCAGAAGAUAAGUGCUGCCGGCAGAAGAAAGCAAGGUGUCCCCUUCCCAGUUUGGCUUUUUUUGGAGGCUCACGGUGAAACCAGCUCCGGAUGAAGCCGGAGGAGGAAGGGAGACAGAGGAAGAGCAGCACGCCUUACUGCGAGGCAAGAGGUGCCAAAUGCCCCGGUUUCAUCCUCAAAAAGGGGAUUGCGAGAAAAUUGAGAGCGGGAGGCAAAGGAUUUUUGACCGGCCGCCUUGAAUUUUCUGUGUUGCUUGUGAUUAAACUUUGCUUAAAGAGGCUCUGGUCUUUAACGGUCUUUGAAAUGAGCUCAGCGCUAAUUCGCGUCGGGUUUUUCCUGGGUGUUUUGCAGAGGUUUCGCUUAAGUUCAAAGAAAUUGCACAUUUCUUCGGCACAAAGGUGUCAAGAACAUAUCUCCCGGCUGAGCGAAAAAAAAUUCCCUUUUGUAUUCCUAUUUUGCACAUUAUCUUUCCCAUAUUGAGUAUGGGCUGAAGGUACCGAAGCAUGAAUAAUUCCCUAAAAUUGACCUGCCUGCAUUAAUAUUUUCUACGAUUUUGCAGUGGUUGUGAAAUAGCACCUCGGUCUUUGUCAUUAACGGUAGAAAUAUUCCUCGCAAUUAAAGAGACGAGGGUUUUCUCCCCUCGCUAACGAAUUCAUUUUAAAGCUGGAGCAAUGAAAUACGCUGCUGAAUAAAAGAAACCAGCCCAGAAAUAAUACA
rnacentral:lncRNA from 1 species